CCCGUGACUUGGUCCUCAGGGUCUCCGGCCUCGGCACAUUAAUCUUCAGACCCGGCUUUUUCGACGCCGAGCUGCCGCCCAGCCCCAAUGGCAGGGCCUUCCAGGGAGUCCCAGUCAGACUGCUCCCCAGCUCCCGCAGCUGCUCGGUCCCUGCAAAGCCCCCGGGAGCGUUUCUACUCUCCCCUGAGCCCACGCCAUCCCGUCACUCCUAGGAAACUUUUCGCGCAGAAACUCCUGGAGAACAGCCCCGGCCGCCAGAAGCGUACCCAGGCCGUCUGCUGUGUGCCCACCCCGAUCCCCAUCAGUGCCCCACGCACUCGAGCUCUUCUUCGGCGUCUGCAGCCUCUUCAUCCGCGCGGAGAGGCGGAGGUCUCCCGGAAACAGUGUCCGACUGUGGCACCCCAGAGCGUCCAAUGCGAGCUCAGGCCUUUCCCGCAAGUCUGGAGUUUUCUUAUCCAGUUGAGGCCGCCUUCGCUGUACUCACUCUCUGCCUCCCACCCCAUCUUCUGCCACCCGACCUCCAUCUUUGAUGGUUAGCGCCUUCAGCCCUCAACAGCUUCGCACAACCAACCCCUAGAAGCCGUGGAGUCAGACCGGCCAGGGUGGGACCUAGGUUUUAACUCGGGUUCUGGCUACACACGCUGCGCCUCCAUACAGUUUGUCCCAGGUUUGGCAGCAGGCCGGCUACCUUCAGGAAUUCUUUGCUUUGGCUUCUGUCUGUUCCUGUCUGUUGGGCAAGUUUCUAGCUACCCCACUGAGAGAACCAUAGAACAAGGACCCUGGCAUGGCAUACAGACAAGGAAUGUUUGCUGAAUUAAUGGAGCUGGUGCCUUGCAGCUUCCCUUUUGUUCCUUGAAGUUGCCCUUGCUCUCCUCCACAUCAGCUCCCUCUCCUCCUCAGCUACUUAUUCCCCACCCUGGCUUCUUCUAGUCGCAGUCCCCAAGUACUUGCUGAAUCCUGUAUGGACAGCCUAAGCCUCCAUUUCUGACAAUUCCUGUGGCCCCACUCCAUUUGUUUUUUAGACUUCUCCCUCCUUUUUGUCCCCAUCCCCCAAGUUAUAAAACUAUAAUGCAA
rnacentral:lncRNA from 1 species